rnacentral:lncRNA from 1 species
CCCACAGUCCACAGGGGGUGAGAAACCUGCCGCACAGAGAGGAGACGGUCACGACAGGAGGGCUGAAAGAAUCAUUGUAAAAAUAAUCACCAUGGCUCACAGUCCUGGUGCAAGGAGUUUCCUGAGCAGGGAAUCGCUUCCAGGGACUCUGGAUGUAGCAUCUAGUUCAUUCUUCACAACGCAACAAGGGAAACUUAGGACCAGAGAAUAGAAGUGACUUGCCCAAACUCAAACUGCAAGUUUAUGACAGAGCCUGGACUAAGAUCAAGCUUUCUCAAUGUCACAAGAAUUCAGUAACAGCCUACUGUAUACAAGGCACCAGCCUAGGUCCUCAUCAUGGUGAAGGCUGGUGGGGAGGUUCAAAGAUUUGUCCAUGGGUCAACACCUCCCCAAGGCCAGGUCUCCAGGGACACAGACUCUGCCCUUUGAAGGCUCCAAGCCAGAAGAGGAAACAGACCCUGAAACACUAUGAGCAGGAGGGCCAGAGAGCGACACACUUUGGUAUCCAGGAGACCCAGCCCCACUGCCUGCAACCCUGCAACCUCCCUGUGCCCCACUGAGCUGCUCAGUAAAAUGGAACUAAGGAUGGUGCCAACUGUCAGUGAUGCUGAGAGGUACAACAAGGAGGUGAAAUGUGAGACCCUGUGCAUUGUGGACACCCAAUAAACAGUGA